rnacentral:rRNA from 1 species
GACGAACGCUGGCGGCGUGCUUAACACAUGCAAGUCGAACGCUGAAGACCUGGCUUUUGUUGGGUUGGAUGAGUGGCGAACGGGUGAGUAACACGUGAGUAACCUGCCCCCUUCUUUGGGAUAACGCCCGGAAACGGGUGCUAAUACUGGAUACUCACUGGCCUUCGCAUGGGGGUUGGUGGAAAGGUUUGUUCUGGUGGGGGAUGGGCUCGCGGCCUAUCAGCUUGUUGGUGGGGUGAUGGCCUACCAAGGCUUUGACGGGUAGCCGGCCUGAGAGGGUGACCGGUCACAUUGGGACUGAGAUACGGCCCAGACUCCUACGGGAGGCAGCAGUGGGGAAUAUUGCACAAUGGGCGAAAGCCUGAUGCAGCGACGCCGCGUGAGGGAUGGAGGCCUUCGGGUUGUAAACCUCUUUCGCUCAUGGUCAAGCCGCAACUGUGGGUUGUGGUGAGGGUAGUGGGUAAAGAAGCGCCGGCUAACUACGUGCCAGCAGCCGCGGUAAUACGUAGGGCGCGAGCGUUGUCCGGAAUUAUUGGGCGUAAAGGGCUUGUAGGCGGUUGGUCGCGUCUGCCGUGAAAUCCUCUGGCUUAACUGGGGGCGUGCGGUGGGUACGGGCUGACUUGAGUGCGGUAGGGGAGACUGGAACUCCUGGUGUAGCGGUGGAAUGCGCAGAUAUCAGGAAGAACACCGGUGGCGAAGGCGGGUCUCUGGGCCGUUACUGACGCUGAGGAGCGAAAGCGUGGGGAGCGAACAGG